AUACCCNUGUUGUCCACCNCCGUACAACGAUGAAUGCCAGCUNUUGGGGUGCUUGCNNCCGNCAGUAGCGCAGGCUAACGNUUUGAGCAUUCCGCCUGGGGAGUACGGUCGGCAAGAUUAAAACUCAAAGGAAUUGAACGGGGGCCCGCACAANCGGUGGAGCAUGUGGUUUAAUUCGAAGCAACGCGCAGAACCUUACCAUCCUUUGACAUGGCGUGUUACCCAGAGAGAUUUGGGGUCCCCUUCGGGGGCGCGCACACAGGUGCUGCAUGGCUGUCGUCAGCUCGUGUCGUGAGAUGUUGGGUUAAGUCCCGCAACGAGCGCAACCCACGUCCUUAGUUGCCAUCAUUCAGUUGGGCACUCUAGGGAGACUGCCGGUGAUAAGCCGCGAGGAAGGUGUGGAUGACGUCAAGUCCUCAUGGCCCUUACGGGAUGGGCUACACACGUGCUACAAUGGCGGUGACAGUGGGACGCGAAGGAGCGAUCUGGAGCAAAUCCCCAAAAGCCGUCUCAGUUCGGAUUGCACUCUGCAACUCGAGUGCAUGAAGGCGGAAUCGCUAGUAAUCGUGGAUCAGCAUGCCACGGUGAAUACGUUCCCGGGCCUUGUACACACCGCCCGUCACACCAUGGGAGUUGGUCUUACCCGACGGCGCUNANNNNACCGGGGGGAGGCAGGCGACCUCNUNNUGUUCNCGCUCUG
rnacentral:rRNA from 1 species